UUCUGAGUCCUUCCUGCAUAUCAGGCAGGGACAAACGGGAAAGUCCCUGCCCUUGGCAAGUGCGGGGGAAAUGAAAUGAUUCUGCUCAGCCUCAUCCAUUGGUCUGAACAAUCACGUCUCAUGACCCCAGGGACACGGCUUCCCCUGAACGCGGAUCCUAGAGGCCAGGCAGAAGCAGCAUGGGUUUCCACUCACACGAUUUAUCUACUGCUCGUGAAAUCUCUGGAUUUAACUGUGAUGAAAGACCGGAGGCUGAAGGAGAACUUCAAUAUCAUAUAUUUUAAAGGUUGACUCACAGUUUGGAACAAGAAUUAAAGAACCACGAACUUCAAGAGCUGCAGAGGAGACGCUUCUACAUCAGGACAUCAGAAGCUGGAACGGGGAUGGCCGGCGAGGGGCCUCUUGUUGGGGUCACAGAGAUGGGUCGCAGAGAUGGCCUGUGUGGAAGGUUGGAUUCUCACCCCACCUCUGCCCCUAGAUGUCCUG
rnacentral:lncRNA from 1 species